UACGUAGGGUGCAAGCGUUAAUCGGAAUUAUUGGGCGUAAAGCGCGUGUAGGCGGCUUUGCAAGUCGGGUGUGAAAGCCCUCAGCUUAACUGAGGAAGUGCGCCCGAAACUGCAGAGCUUGAGUACCGGAGAGGGUGGCGGAAUUCCCCAAGUAGAGGUGAAAUUCGUAGAUAUGGGGAGGAACACCGGUGGCGAAGGCGGCCAGCCUGGACGGAUACUGACGCUGAGACGCGAAAGCGUGGGUAGCAAACAGG
rnacentral:rRNA from 1 species